rnacentral:rRNA from 1 species
GACGAACGCUGGCGGCGUGCUUAACACAUGCAAGUCGAACGGAAAGGCCCUGCUUUUGUGGGGUGCUCGAUUGGCGAACGGGUGAGUAACACGUGAGUAACCUCCCCUUGUCUGAGGGAUAACUUCAGGAAACUGGGGCUAAUACCGGAUAGGAGCUCCUGCUGCACGUGGUGGAUUGGUAAGUUUCGGCGGUUGGGGAUGGACUCGCGGCUUAUCAGCUUGUUGGGCAGGUAGUGGCUUACCAAGGCUUCGACGGGUAGCCGGCCUGAGAGGGUUGCCGGCCACAUUGGGCCUGAGAUACGGACCAGACUCGUACGGGAGGCAGCAGUGGAGAAUAUUGCACAAUGGGCGGACGCCUGAGGCAGCAAUGCCGCGUGCGGGAUGACGGCUUUCGGGUUGUGAACCGCUUUCGACUGUGACGAAGAGAGAGUGACGGUAAUGGGUAAAGAAGCACCGGCUAACUACGUG